UGUACUCCCGCGGAGCCUCUGUCUGCAUUCCAGCACAGAAGACCUGAGGAGGAAAAAAAGGCAACAGAGGAGCAAGAGGACUUCUACUGGCUUACCGGUUGCCAGUCCUCCUCUCUCCACCGGUAGCGAGAGGGACAGUCGGUGACCCGGCAGCUCUGGCUGGACGCUGGUCGGGAGCGCUGGGGACAGCCGGUCUCCUGCGAGCUCCGUUGGUCUUCAACCUGGCAGAACACCUCCCGCUGCUGGAUGCCAUCGCCGCAGGAUGCAGAACACUAAACACAGGGCAAACAGACCGCACUUCACCAAUAUCAAUGUAAUGCUCCUGGAUCACAUAACAACUAUGUAAUAACAGAUGAUUUAGAGACAAAUAAAGUGAUGGAGGUGUAAGGCGCUUUGUGUGUUCUGGAGCUCAACCUAUAAAAAUGCAUUUACUACAGGCAUAUUUAUGUGUCCAUUUAUCUGUAACUCAGUGAAGCAGCUGAACUUUGAGGCACUCCAGUGUGCUGUGCUGUGCUUGACUAAGAGCCUCAAGUGGAGUAUCAUUUUCUCCUUGCAUCCUGCUCCACAGCUGUUUAGAGGGGGACGCACAUCCUCUCUGACAUGUAAGAUGUUUCUGUGUGCUCAGUCCACUCAGUCCUUUUGACAGAAAAGGUGUUGAAAGGCAACGACCAGGUGCACUUUGUUGAGUUUGUUUGGCGUGAUGACGCGAGUGUAUUGCCUCGAGUAGCACAUUCAAAAGACCAACAUGUGGUUCCCAUUGGUGAGGCAAAAAAUAAAAUUUAAAAAAAGAGAAAGAAGGGAAAGAGGGCAUGGAAGAAAAAGUGGGAGAGGGGAUGAAUGGAGACAGAGAGGAGAGGAAGUUGAGGACCACAGGAAAAGAAGCUAUAGAGAUGAAAGGUGUAGAUUUACACUGGCUCUAAUUCAAAUACAAAGAAAGGGGUGCACAUCCAUCCUGCCGCCCAACUUGGUGCACGGCGGUGCCGUAGCACCAGCGUACACCACCUCAGACUCUGGCUCCACCCUGGCAAACCGCCGUGUGAUGUUUAAAAGCAAUCAUGCCUCAGUUAGUGGCUUAGCAUGGUCCAUGAAGGCAGUCAGGUUCAGCUGUGGCCUGUUUCACACAUAUGGAUAUACUUGCCUGUAAGCUGCAAAGUAUUAAAGUGGGGCUACGAGAGAGAAACAAAGCCAACAUGUCUGGCACCGUGAGAACAAAUAGCUAAGAAGUGUUUAAUGGCGGGGUCAGAGAG